rnacentral:rRNA from 1 species
GACGAACGCUGGCGGCGUGCUUAACACAUGCAAGUCGAACGGUGAAGCUCCAGCUUGCUGGAGUGGAUCAGUGGCGAACGGGUGAGUAACACGUGAGCAACCUGCCCCUGACUCUGGAAUAAGCGCUGGAAACGGCGUCUAAUACUGGAUACGAGAAGGGUCCGCAUGGGCACUUUCUGGAAAGAUUUUCGGUUGGGGAUGGGCUCGCGGCCUAUCAGCUUGUUGGUGAGGUAAUGGCUCACCAAGGCGACGACGGGUAGCCGGCCUGAGAGGGCGACCGGCCACACUGGGACUGAGACACGGCCCAGACUCCUACGGGAGGCAGCAGUGGGGAAUAUUGCACAAUGGGCGAAAGCCUGAUGCAGCGACGCCGCGUGAGGGAUGACGGCCUUCGGGUUGUAAACCUCUUUCAGCAGGGAAGAAGCGAAAGUGACGGUACCUGCAGAAGAAGCACCGGCUAACUACGUG